ACCAAAUCCAGCAAAAAUUCCAAUAACUUGUGUUCUAUGCCAAAUGACUGAUGCACGUGAAUGACCCAAUUUAUUUUUACAUGGUCCUUUGUCGUAAUGUCUCAGUAAAAAGUCGUCCUAAAUUAUUUAAUAUGAAUGUACAGAACACAUAGGACAGCACUUGAUAUGGUCACCAUCAAAUGGUAUACCUAAUGAUAGAUCUGAACAAGGACCAUUAUGCCAAGAUUCUCUACAUAUAGAACAAAAAUCUGUAGAGCAAUUAGGACAAUGAACAGGUCCAAUAGGAGUUCCAUUUGAUCCAGUGGCAUUUAUUGAACAUAUUGUUUCACAACCUGCUCGUGGGCACCAAGCACGUGCUUUAUCCAUGGAUACAUCUGUAUGUUACAGAAAAUAUUAGAUUAAAUUGAAUUACUGAAUCUUACAAUACAUAAGUUCUACACACCUCUAUUCAAGCGAAAUUUAUGAUGUUUUUCCACAAGUUCAGGACUAACAAGACUUGAUAUUUCCUUCAUAGAUAAUAUUGCCCCAUGUUCACAUUGUGCAUCAGGACAACUAAUUUCGUAUGCACCUUCCUCAAUUUCAAAUUCAACAUAUGCUUUCAUACACUAUAACAUUAAAAUGUAUUAUUUCUUAAAAAAUUUUGCAUAAAAUAAAAUACACUAAAUACAAAUUUAUACAUACAUCUUUACAAUAGGAACAACCACAGCCCUCUAUUUUAAAUGUUUUGGAAAUAGAAGUAUCAACAAGGCAUAAUUUACAGAAAAGGCGUCCAAGCGUUUGUUGAGAACCUGCAGGAACAAAAUUGCCUGCGGCUAAACUAUAACGUGAGCUAGAUGCCAAUGAUAACAAACUUGAACAGCGAGAACAAACUCGACUUCGAUUUAUAGGUCGACCUUCUAGGGCAGAAGUGCUUAAACCAACAGCAGUUUCACAUUUUCUUAAUACUCCAGGACCCAAACUUAACCAACUGUUACCACGUGCUUCUAAACUUGCACUACUUUCAGGUCUGAGUAAUGGCGCAUCCACUCCUUUUCCCAAUGCAGCUCUUUCUGUUAAUGAAAGAUUUACAACGCUUGCUUCCUUGCGUAACAAAGGUAAUCUGACUCCAGUAAGUUUAUUGGACUUAUCAACUUUCUUUUGAUUAGUAGUGAUUUUAUUAGAAGGAUUUACAGAUGUCACAGAGCUGGUGGCAGUACCCAUAUCCAUUAGUGGAGCUCGUCGUACGACGAGCGAAUGUAAGCUGGGCAUCCCCUAAUUAUCAAUGUAAGUUUCACUAGCUGUUACAAGCAAGAGCAGUUGCCAUAUAAUAAUAAAAGAUGUAUAUAAAUCAUAUAACUUGAAAAUGUCACACCCAUAAAAUGAUUUGCCACUGCAUAUUUCAAUGCACUCAUUCUGACAUAAUUUCAUAGUACUUCUCAUACUUCAUCAUUUUCUUUACAGUUCUCAAACUUGAUUUCAUACAUUUUGAAAGUAACUGAACAAAAUAUUGACUUACACUGUAUUUUUUUUUUUUUUUUAAAUGCUCCUACUCACUUAAAUAUAAAUCUAUUAACACGCUAAAUUCUAGAUUUAAUUUUGCAAAAAAUACACGAUUCGUGAUAAUUACUUGGAAAAAUAAAUUGAUAAGCCAUCAAGAAUAUAUAUAGAAGCAAAUUUUGUUGAAAUGUAACACGACCAAGAAAUAUUGCUGUCUUUGAACGUUAUUUAUGUUGUGCUUGUCAGUUUAAGACAUGUCGUAAAAGUAAGAAAACUUGCUACGUAAUAUCUUGCAAAUAUUCAUUAUUUAAAAACGUGCUAAUCUACUCAUAUUUCAAAUAUUAAUCUUCACAAACGUAUACUCAAUCCAUUUAGAUAUUGUUCGAUUUUAUAGUUUUCUUUCUAGUUUCACGGACUUUUCUCGUACUGUGUCACUAAGUACAGCAAACAGUAUGUGUACACAAAUUACUGACUAUUUCCGCCCCCACUUGCUUAUAUUUUUUUUUACAGUAACGAAAAUAAAGAUUAUCACCGCGUUUGUAUUAUGAUAUUUGUAAAAAAAUUACCGUUACUUUUUUGUAACAUAAUAUUGCAUUUCUGCAACUCACUUAACGCCUGACGCAGAGAGUAGCGAUAAAAUAUACUGUGCAGCAUGAAAUUAGGAAUUGUUCGAUAUUAAAAUUUUGAACACUAGUAAAUUUUUAAUAUAACACUUGUAAUAUAAUUUUAAAUUUUCGUACACAACAAUGGAAGAUAAUAAGUUACUGCAACUUUGUUUAUUGGUUAUUUUCUGUUCAUUAUGAUUUAUAUAUCAUCGUUACAUAUAUAUAUGUAUAUACGUAGAUAACAAAUUUGAACAUGCGAAAGGCGGGUUUCUCGACCAGCUUGUCUAUUGAGCGAAUACUGCUGAACAUAGGUCCCGAUGUGUCCUAACGAAAUUCAACGAUUGCACACGAAGUCAUCCAAUAUGGCGUUGGAGUUUAACUCCCAACAAAACUAAUUCUUAACAAUAUAAUGGAUAUAUAAAACUAAUAAAUAAAAUUUCUCUGUUAAAAAUAUACGCAUAAAAU